rnacentral:lncRNA from 1 species
CCUCCAUGAGCAGUAUUUAAAUCAGUGGUUUUGCAGACUUCUAAGUAGGAAGGAAAUAACUCAGUGUUUUUCUUUUUUCUUUUUUUAAAGUGUUUCUUGGCUUAAUUCAUGCAGAAAAUAAGGAUACAUAAGAGUUGGUCUAUGAAUUGAGAAUAAGGGAUCACUUAUACUUUCCCUUCACUCCUGAGGCAAGUGGAAAAAAAGCUGGCAUAAAACCCCAGACAACUAUGGAUUUGGUUGGGGCUGGGAUAUUUGCUGUGGGAUUGAGUUGGUUUGUAUGCUUUUGUUGUUGUGGAUUUUUUUUCUGAUGCAUGUUGGUUAUUCUAGAAGAUCAACAACUGCCAAGGAAAUACCAACUUACUUCUGUACUUCAGGGGCAUCCAGGAAAGUGCUCAGAAGCAUGAGACAAAACGUAGAGAGUUUGCAAACUAAAGGCAAGCAACAAGCAGUGGAUGGACCAAAGAUAGUUCCCUCUGGACAUAGCAUACAGCAACUAAGAUUCAUGUUUAAAGGGUUACAUGUUACAGUUUCAAACAAUGGUUUACACUCCAUGGAAAAAAAUACUGCAGAGACAUGCUUUGCAUGGAAUUGGAUAACUGAAUUUUGCAAGAAUAAUAGCUGAAACUGGCCUUCAGACCUUCUAGUUGUAGUACUGGAAGGAGAAGAUUGUGACCUCAAGUCAAUGGAUGAUAAAUACACUGUGCUUAAAAAAAACUGCUGGAGAACAUCAAGGAGAGAAGAAAACUGACCCAGUGUCUAAAUGUCUAGUUCUGGUCUCUCUUGAACAGUAGCUCAUUAUACCUACCUGAAAAGUGAGCACCAGGAUUUAUUCUUACUAAAAUGUGUCCUAAUUUUUAAGCUUUUUUUUAUGAUGGUUGUUUCUGUCUCUCUUUCUGAUCAUACUGUAAAACCUCCAGCUCACUCCUCACACCUUCACAUCUCCAACCAUUUAAUUAACAUUCUCCUUUUCCAUCCUUCUGCAGAUAAUAAGCACAAGCUGUGAAGCCUCCCCCUUGAUUAUCAGAGCAGACUAGCAGUUUCAAGCCUGUUUUACACUCAGUCUAUUGUUGUUCCAUUCGGAAAGUUAUUUUCAAAGCUUGCUUGUGAGAGCACUCUAUAAAGCAGUGUUAAAGCCUUGUUUCAGGCACAGACAGGGUAUCUUUUGCUUCUCUCUCAUUCAUGGAGCUGCAGAAAGAAACGUGAAAGGUCUGACACUGUCUUGCUGAAUCCAUGCAGCCAUCCCUCAGCUUAUCCUCAGCUCCCAUCAUUCUUGCUCUGGCUCCUGGGCUCUCAACUUCUGCUCAGGUCCCUUCCUCCAACAA